rnacentral:rRNA from 1 species
UUAAGCGACUAAGCGUACACGGUGGAUGCCCUGGCAGUCAGAGGCGAUGAAGGACGUGCUAAUCUGCGAUAAGCGUCGGUAAGGUGAUAUGAACCGUUAUAACCGGCGAUUUCCGAAUGGGGAAACCCAGUGUGUUUCGACACACUAUCAUUAACUGAAUCCAUAGGUUAAUGAGGCGAACCGGGGGAACUGAAACAUCUAAGUACCCCGAGGAAAAGAAAUCAACCGAGAUUCCCCCAGUAGCGGCGAGCGAACGGGGAGCAGCCCAGAGCCUGAAUCAGUNNNNNNNNNNNNNNNNNNNNNNNNNNNNNNNNNNNNNNNNNNNNNNNNNNNNNNNNNNNNNNNNNUGUGAGCUCGAUGAGUAGGGCGGGACACGUGGUAUCCUGUCUGAAUAUGGGGGGACCAUCCUCCAAGGCUAAAUACUCCUGACUGACCGAUAGUGAACCAGUACCGUGAGGGAAAGGCGAAAAGAACCCCGGCGAGGGGAGUGAAAAAGAACCUGAAACCGUGUACGUACAAGCAGUGGGAGCACGCUUAGGCGUGUGACUGCGUACCUUUUGUAUAAUGGGUCAGCGACUUAUAUUCUGUAGCAAGGUUAACCGAAUAGGGGAGCCGAAGGGAAACCGAGUCUUAACUGGGCGUUAAGUUGCAGGGUAUAGACCCGAAACCCGGUGAUCUAGCCAUGGGCAGGUUGAAGGUUGGGUAACACUAACUGGAGGACCGAACCGACUAAUGUUGAAAAAUUAGCGGAUGACUUGUGGCUGGGGGUGAAAGGCCAAUCAAACCGGGAGAUAGCUGGUUCUCCCCGAAAGCUAUUUAGGUAGCGCCUCGUGAAUUCAUCUCCGGGGGUAGAGCACUGUUUCGGCAAGGGGGUCAUCCCGACUUACCAACCCGAUGCAAACUGCGAAUACCGGAGAAUGUUAUCACGGGAGACACACGGCGGGUGCUAACGUCCGUCGUGAAGAGGGAAACAACCCAGACCGCCAGCUAAGGUCCCAAAGUCAUGGUUAAGUGGGAAACGAUGUGGGAAGGCCCAGACAGCCAGGAUGUUGGCUUAGAAGCAGCCAUCAUUUAAAGAAAGCGUAAUAGCUCACUGGUCGAGUCGGCCUGCGCGGAAGAUGUAACGGGGCUAAACCAUGCACCGAAGCUGCGGCAGCGACGCUUAUGCGUUGUUGGGUAGGGGAGCGUUCUGUAAGCCUGUGAAGGUGUGCUGUGAGGCAUGCUGGAGGUAUCAGAAGUGCGAAUGCUGACAUAAGUAACGAUAAAGCGGGUGAAAAGCCCGCUCGCCGGAAGACCAAGGGUUCCUGUCCAACGUUAAUCGGGGCAGGGUGAGUCGACCCCUAAGGCGAGGCCGAAAGGCGUAGUCGAUGGGAAACAGGUUAAUAUUCCUGUACUUGGUGUUACUGCGAAGGGGGGACGGAGAAGGCUAUGUUGGCCGGGCGACGGUUGUCCCGGUUUAAGCGUGUAGGCUGGUUUUCCAGGCAAAUCCGGAAAAUCAAGGCUGAGGCGUGAUGACGAGGCACUACGGUGCUGAAGCAACAAAUGCCCUGCUUCCAGGAAAAGCCUCUAAGCAUCAGGUAACAUCAAAUCGUACCCCAAACCGACACAGGUGGUCAGGUAGAGAAUACCAAGGCGCUUGAGAGAACUCGGGUGAAGGAACUAGGCAAAAUGGUGCCGUAACUUCGGGAGAAGGCACGCUGAUAUGUAGGUGAAGUCCCUCGCGGAUGGAGCUGAAAUCAGUCGAAGAUACCAGCUGGCUGCAACUGUUUAUUAAAAACACAGCACUGUGCAAACACGAAAGUGGACGUAUACGGUGUGACGCCUGCCCGGUGCCGGAAGGUUAAUUGAUGGGGUUAGCCGCAAGGCGAAGCUCUUGAUCGAAGCCCCGGUAAACGGCGGCCGUAACUAUAACGGUCCUAAGGUAGCGAAAUUCCUUGUCGGGUAAGUUCCGACCUGCACGAAUGGCGUAAUGAUGGCCAGGCUGUCUCCACCCGAGACUCAGUGAAAUUGAACUCGCUGUGAAGAUGCAGUGUACCCGCGGCAAGACGGAAAGACCCCGUGAACCUUUACUAUAGCUUGACACUGAACAUUGAGCCUUGAUGUGUAGGAUAGGUGGGAGGCUUNGAAGUGUGGACGCCAGUCUGCAUGGAGCCGACCUUGAAAUACCACCCUUUAAUGUUUGAUGUUCUAACGUUGACCCGUAAUCCGGGUUGCGGACAGUGUCUGGUGGGUAGUUUGACUGGGGCGGUCUCCUCCUAAAGAGUAACGGAGGAGCACGAAGGUUGGCUAAUCCUGGUCGGACAUCAGGAGGUUAGUGCAAUGGCAUAAGCCAGCUUGACUGCGAGCGUGACGGCGCGAGCAGGUGCGAAAGCAGGUCAUAGUGAUCCGGUGGUUCUGAAUGGAAGGGCCAUCGCUCAACGGAUAAAAGGUACUCCGGGGAUAACAGGCUGAUACCGCCCAAGAGUUCAUAUCGACGGCGGUGUUUGGCACCUCGAUGUCGGCUCAUCACAUCCUGGGGCUGAAGUAGGUCCCAAGGGUAUGGCUGUUCGCCAUUUAAAGUGGUACGCGAGCUGGGUUUAGAACGUCGUGAGACAGUUCGGUCCCUAUCUGCCGUGGGCGCUGGAGAACUGAGGGGGGCUGCUCCUAGUACGAGAGGACCGGAGUGGACGCAUCACUGGUGUUCGGGUUGUCAUGCCAAUGGCACUGCCCGGUAGCUAAAUGCGGAAGAGAUAAGUGCUGAAAGCAUCUAAGCACGAAACUUGCCCCGAGAUGAGUUCUCCCUGACUCCUUGAGAGUCCUGAAGGAACGUUGAAGACGACGACGUUGAUAGGCCGGGUGUGUAAGCGCAGCGAUGCGUUGAGCUAACCGGUACUAAUGAACCGUGAGGCUUAACCUU